rnacentral:snoRNA from 2 species
AAACCAUAUGAUGAAUUUGGAUUUUCAAUACUCACGACGGUCGUCUGAGAUUCACUUGAUGCAUUAAUCCUAUAUUUCUGAUGGUU